rnacentral:rRNA from 1 species
CCCUUAGAUGUUCUGGGCCGCACGCGUGCUACACUGUGUGGAUCAGCGGGUCAGGUUGCGCGAAAGCGUUUCCUAAUCUUGAAAUCCGCUCGUGAUGGGGAUUGACGGUUGCAAUUUUCUGUCAUGAACGAGGAAUACCUUGUAAGCGCGAGUCAUCAUCCCGCGCUGAAUACGUCCCUGCCCUUUGUACACACCGCCCGUCGCUCCUACCGAUUGAGUGGUCCGGUGAGGCUUUGGGAUCUGAGCGGAAAGAGCGUUUCGCUCGUUCUGCCCGGAAAACUCAGUCGAACCUUAUCAUUUAGAGGAAGGAGAAGUCGUAACA